GAUGAACGCUGGCGGCGUGCCUAAUACAUGCAAGUCGAGCGAACGGACGAGAAGCUUGCUUCUCUGAUGUUAGCGGCGGACGGGUGAGUAACACGUGGAUAACCUACCUAUAAGACUGGGAUAACUUCGGGAAACCGGAGCUAAUACCGGAUGAUAUUUUGAACCGCAUGGUUCAAAAGUGAAAGACGGUCUUGCUGUCACUUAUAGAUGGAUCCGCGCUGCAUUAGCUAGUUGGUAAGGUAACGGCUUACCAAGGCAACGAUGCAUAGCCGACCUGAGAGGGGGAACGGCCCCACUGGAACUGAGGAACGGUUCAGACUCCUAAGGGAGGCAACAAGAGGGAAACUUCCGCAAAGGGGGAAAGGCUGAACGGGCAAAGGCGGGGGGGUGAUGAAAGUCCUCGGAUCGGAAAAAUCUUUUAAUUGGGAAGAACAUAUGGGGAAGGUACUGGGCCCAACUUUAAGGGUCCUAAAUCGAAAGGCACCGCUUACUUCGGU
rnacentral:rRNA from 1 species